GAUGAGGAACGUAGCGAAAUGCGAUACGUAAUGUGAAUUGCAGAAUUCAGUGAAUCAUCGAGUCUUUGAACGCACAUUGCGCCCCCUGGUAUUCCGGGGGGCAUGCCUGUCCGAGCGUCAUUGCUGCCCUCAAGCACGGCUUGUGUGUUGGGCCUCCGUCCUCCUCCCGGGGGACGGGCCCGAAAUGCAGUGGCGGCGUCGUGUUCCGGUGCCCGAGCGUAUGGGGCUUUGUCACCCGCUCUUGAGGCCCGGCCGGCUCCGGCCCAUCAACCAUCGAGGACCCGUUCCUCAACCAGGUUGACCUCGGAUCAGGUAGGGAUACCCGCUGAACUUAAGCAUAUCAAUAAGCGGAGGA
rnacentral:misc_RNA from 1 species